rnacentral:misc_RNA from 1 species
AAGUCGUAACAAGGUUUCCGUAGGUGAACCUGCGGAAGGAUCAUUAUUGAAGCUCUGCUUUAUACACACCUGUGAACCGUGCCCUUCGGGGUGAUUAUACAAACACUAUUGUUGUCUUUGAAUGUCUUGUUAUACCUAACAAAUAUAACUUUCAACAACGGAUCUCUUGGCUCUC